UAGGUGUAUUAAUGUAUGAUUUAGAAACAAAGAAUGUAGUAUAAUAAUAUGUGUAAAGGUAAUAUUUCUAGUAGAAUGUAGAAUGUAGUAUAGCAUAAUGUAGUAAGGUAGUAUUAAGCAUGGUAGAAUGUAGGAUUGUAGAAUGUAGUAAGGUAGUAUUAAGCAUGGUAGAAUGUAGGAUUGUAGAAUGUAGUAAGGUUGUAUUAAGCAUGGUAGAAUGCAGUAUAGUAGAAUGUAGUACAAGAAUAUGUAUUAAGGUAUAAUGCAGUAUGGUAGAAUGUAGUAAAGUAGUAAGGCAGAAUGUAGAAAGGUAGUAUUUAACGUGGUAGAAUGUAGUACAAUUAUAUGUCAAUCGGCUAUAACAUUCAAACCACCUCCCUAAUAUAGUGUGACCUACCCCUUGUGCAGCCAAAACAGCUCUGCCCCGUCAAGGCAUGGACUCCACUAAGACGAUAACAGCAGAUCCUUUAAGUCCUCAAUGAAUCUGACUUCUUUG
ensembl:lncRNA